GAUGAACGCUAGCGGCAGGCUUAACACAUGCAAGUCGAGGGGCAACACGGGUAGCAAUACCUGGUGGCGACCGGCGCAAGGGUGCGUAACGCGUGAGCAACAUGCCCUAUACAGGGGGAUAAUCCAGGGAAACUUGGUCUAAUAUCCCAUAGUAUUUAGAGGUGGCAUCACCACUAAAUUAAAGCUUCGGUGGUAUAGGAUUGGCUCGCGUGACAUUAGCUGGAUGGUGGGGUAACGGCUCACCAUGGCGAUGAUGUCUAGGGGUUCUGAGAGGAAGACCCCCCACACUGGGACUGAGACACGGCCCAGACUCCUACGGGAGGCAGCAGUGAGGAAUAUUGGACAAUGGAUGGAAAUCUGAUCCAGCCAUGCCGCGUGCAGGAAGACGGCCCUAUGGGUUGUAAAACUGCUUUUAUAUGGGAGCAAUAAGGUUUUACGCGUUAGACCGAUGAGAGUACCAUAUGAAUAAGCAUCGGCUAACUCCGUG
rnacentral:rRNA from 1 species